AGCUCAGUUGGUUAGAGCAUCCCGACAUAAGUCGGGAGGGUUCCUAGUUCAAGCCCAGGUGGGCCCA
rnacentral:tRNA from 1 species